rnacentral:rRNA from 1 species
GUGCAGCAGGCGCGAAAACUCCGCAAUGCUCGAAAGAGUGACGGGGGGAUUCCAAGUGCCUACGCUUAGCGUAGGCUGUUCAGAUGCCUAAAAAGCAUCUGGAGUAAGGGCUGGGUAAGACGGGUGCCAUCUGCAGUGGUAAUGAAAAACUUGCUACUGCAAGGCAUAAGCCGCCGCGGUAAUACCCGCAGCCCGAGUGGUAGUCGCUUUUAUUGGGCCUAAAGCGUCCGUAGCCGGUCUGGUAAAUGCCUGGGGUAAAUCGUGGGGCCUAACCUCACGAACUCCGGGUAGACUGCCAGACUUGGGACCGGUUGAGGGAGAGGGUACUCCAGGGGUAGGGGUGAAAUCCUGUAAUCCUUGGAGGACCACCGGUGGCGAAAGCGCUCUCCUAGGACGGUCGACGGUGAGGGACGAAAGCCAGGGGAGCAAACCGGAUUAGAUACCCCCGUAGU